GACGAACGCUGGCGACGCGCUUAACACAUGCAAGUCGAACGGAAAGGCCUGCUUUCCCUUGUGGAUUGCGGGUACUCGAGUGGCGAACGGGUGAGUAACACGUGAGUGAUCUGCCCCCAACUUGGGUAUAAGCCUGGGAAACUGGGUCUAAUUCCCGAUAGGACUGCAGGGUGGUGCCUGUGGUGGAAAACGAUUUUCUAGUGGUUGGGGAUGAGCUCGCGGCCUAUCAGCUUGUUGGUGGGGUAAUGGCCUACCAAGGCGGCGACGGGUAGCCGGCCUGAGAGGGUGGACGGCCACAUUGGGACUGAGAUACGGCCCAGACUCCUACGGGAGGCAGCAGUGGGGAAUAUUACACAAUGGGCGGAAGCCUGAUGCAGCGACGCCGCGUGGGGGAUGACGGCCUUCGGGUUGUAAACUCCUUUCGACCGCGAGGAAGCCACCUGGUUGGAAGGGUGGUGACGGUAGUGGUAGAAGAAGCACCGGCUAACUACGUG
rnacentral:rRNA from 1 species